rnacentral:rRNA from 1 species
UACGUAGGGUGCGAGCGUUGUCCGGAAUUACUGGACGUAAAGAGCUCGUAGGUGGUUUGUCGCGUUGUUCGUGAAAACCGGGGGCUUAACCCUCGGCGUGCGGGCGAUACGGGCAGACGUUGAGUACUGCAGGGGAGACUGGAAUUCCUGGUGUAGCGGUGGAAUGCGCAGAUAUCAGGAGGAACACCGGUGGCGAAGGCGGGUCUCUGGGCAGUAACUGACGCUGAGGAGCGAAAGCGUGGGGAGCGAACAGG